GACGAACGCUGGCGGCGUGCCUAAUACAUGCAAGUCGAGCGGAGUCGUUCAGCUGAAGUCUUCGGACGGACGCUGGAUGUACUAGCGGCGGACGGGUGAGUAACACGUAGGCAACCUGCCUGUAAGACCGGGAUAACUAACGGAAACGUUAGCUAAUACCGGAUACUCCCUUCAAGGCGCAUGCGUUGGAGGGGAAAGACGGAGCAAUCUGUCACUUACAGAUGGGCCUGCGGCGCAUUAGCUGGUUGGUGAGGUAACGGCUCACCAAGGCGACGAUGCGUAGCCGACCUGAGAGGGUGAUCGGCCACACUGGGACUGAGACACGGCCCAGACUCCUACGGGUGGCAG
rnacentral:rRNA from 1 species